rnacentral:misc_RNA from 1 species
GAUGAAGAACGUAGCGAAAUGCGAUAACUAAUGUGAAUUGCAGAAUUCAGUGAAUCAUCGAGUCAUUGAACGCACAUUGCGCCCCCUGGUAUUCCGGGGGGCAUGCCUGUCCGAGCGUCAUUGCUGCCCUCAAGCACGGCUUGUGUGUUGGGCUCCGUCCCCCCGGGGACGGGCCCGAAAGGCAGCGGCGGCACCGAGUCCGGUCCUCGAGCGUAUGGGGCUUUGUCACCCGCUCUGUAGGCCCGGCCGGCGCCAGCCGACAACCCAUCAUCCUUUUCAGGUUGACCUCGGAUCAGGUAGGGAUACCCGCUGAACUUAAGCAUAUCAAUAAGCGGAGGA